UACGAAGGGGGCUAGCGUUGCUCGGAAUCACUGGGCGUAAAGCGCACGUAGGCGGAUUGCUAAGUCAGGGGUGAAAUCCUGGAGCUCAACUCCAGAACUGCCUUUGAUACUGGCAAUCUCGAGUCCGGGAGAGGUGAGUGGAACUGCGAGUGUAGAGGUGAAAAUUCGUAGAUAUUCGCAAGAACACCAGUGGCGAAGGCGGCUCACUGGCCCCGGUACUGACGCUGAGGUGCGAAAGCGUGGGGAGCAAACAGGG
rnacentral:rRNA from 1 species